UUUUUUUUUUUUUUUUUUUUUUUUUGGUUUUUUGAAACAGGAUUUCUCUGUAUAGCCCUGGCUGUCCUGGAACUCACUUUGUAGACCAGGCUGGCCUCGAACUCAGAAAUUUGCCUGCCUCUGCCUCCCGAGUGCUGGGAUUAAAGGCGUGUGCCACCACACCCAGCUCGAGUUUAUUUUUAAAUAUACUUGAGUUCACACAAAGGCUGUACAAGACCACAGCAUGUACAUAUGAAGCAGCAGUUUAUCCAACACAUUUGGAACCUGCAGUGUUGUAUCUUGACUAUAGGGCUCAAUUUAAUAUGCAUCUUAAAUGCACUGCCGUCAUGGCAGUUUUAUUCAUUGACACGUACAAAGCAUAGCAUAGGUGUGUCAGCCAUCUAUUUGGAUAGUCUGCUAUUGACUGUCAUCACUGUUCCUGACUCCAUUUAGAUGUUACCUCUCACUAGCCAACCGUGUUCUUACAGCACAGUAGAAUACAGCUUGUAUCAACAAACACAAUACCACUCCCAACCGUGUUCUUACAGCACAGUAGAAUACAGCUUGUAUCAACAAACACAAUACCACUCGAUUAACAGUGUAUAUAACAUGCUGGGGGUUUAAGUGACAUUGAAAACAUUGGCCACAAUACCUAUUGGCUCUGAUCAGAAAGAAAGCAAGCAACAGCAUUUUCAGCUCUGCCUAGGAUGCAGCAAUUCUGGUCAUAUGCUAACUAUACGUUGUAUUUUUUAGCUAAAGCAAAUGAGGGAGGGAGGGAGGGAGGGAGGGAAUUGGCUGGUUCUCUAACAUUCUGAUUUCCCUCAAGAGUUAACAAAUGUUUUUGUUAGAAGUUUCCUUCAUAAAGCUCAUCAUAACAUUCUUACAGGUCAUAUACAAGUACUCUGUGUUAAUGGCAUCCCCAUUGCUACUACUAUAAUAUUUCAAGGUCAAUGGAGGUACAGUGUAGCCUUACUGAGAGAGGUUCCUUCAUUUCUAACAUUGACAAAAACCAUUUAGAAAAGCAACCCUGGCAAACACCUGAGGCGCAAGCAUGACAAGCAUCAGCUGAGCGGACGGAUCACCACAUACCUGUUGGUUCCUUCUCUAGCUUUUUGUUUGGCCCUUUCUUCCCCUGAUCUUUGGUUUUAUUUGCUUCCUCAUGCUGUCUCUGUUCAGCAAGAGAUUUGUUCAGCACUUGGGUGAUGACUGAAUCUCCUUCACCAACCAAAAACAUAUUCUUAAACUUGUUAUAUAACAUUGUAGACUUUUCCAUGAUAACUUGACUGACUUUGAACCGCCGUAUCUGAGAAAACAGUAGUCAUAGUUAUUGUCCCUAAUUGAUUGAAACUUUGGUGAACUGAGAAACGAUGUUAGCGUUGCAGGCGCUGAGGGCACUUACUUUCUUCAGGGUUGUGAUCAUCUCUGUGUGUUUCUGAGCUUGCUGCAUUGUUACCUGAAGUGAAGCGAGUUCAUCCAGGGCCUCUAUGCAUCUGUUCACGUCCUUCAUGACAAAACAGCAAUUUCAUAACUGUUAAUCACCAAGGCAGCCAUGGAAUCCACUUCUGACCAUCUCAAAAGCUCUUAAGGUGGUACAAAAAUGGCCAGGUAUUGUUCCUUUUAUCUUAAAACUUAUAUACUUAAGUCAUGUGAGAAAAUAUAUAAAGCUAUUAAAGCAGUGCAUUUUAAAUGAGAUUAAACACUUACUAGAUUAUCAAUUUUGAGUGAAUUUUUAAUUUCAGCAUGUAUCCUUUGAAGUCGAGAAUCCAUUGAUGUUUCUAUAAAUUGAAAUAUGUGAAAAACAGUAAAUAGUUUUUCUCCACACCAUGUCUCUGUACAGUCUAACAUAUAAAAGUAAUGGUGGUUAUAAAAAUUUUCUUCAUAAUCUUCGAGAAACCCAUAUAGAUGAACAGUGUAAAAAGUUAUGCUAAUUUUCUUUUCAUAUAUGGUUCCAAGAAGAAACAUGCAGCAUGAAAGCACAAAAUUACAGCAUGCUGCAUUUAUUCUGUCUCGGGUGACGCGAUCCUACUUGUACUUGUCACCUCUUAAACCCCUGCUUCACCUUGUGCCUUUAACUGCAAGGUGUUUAUCGGAGCCUCCAGCUCUUAGCUGGGCUGCACAACUGACACCAAAUAAGCUUUAAGAUAUUAGCAGGGUUACUUUAAUUGCUUAAAAUGCAAUUGAAUAUGGAAUCUGUUAGACUUGAAAACAUGUUUUGUAAGAUCUAAGAACAUGAAAUGGGAUUUCAAAAGUCAUUUUUAAAUUGUUCAAUUUUAAAGUCAGGAUCCCAUUUUGUACCCCUGGUUGGCUUGGAACUUGAGGCUCUCCCGGCUGUGCCUCCAUAAGUGCCGGGAUUCCAGGUAUGUGCCAUCUCAGCCAGCUCCCAUUAACCUUCUCUGUAAUUUUCCAUGUCUUAGAAAGUAAAACAACUAACCUCGCUUCUUCUCCACUUUCUUAACUUCUGGCUUCUUUCCUUCAUCUUUAUUCUGCCUAUCAAAUGUCAACACAAAUAUUUCAAAACACUGUAACUUUGUGACUGAGGUUAGCAGAUGCCCAUAUUCCCCUGUGUAAAGGUUUUAAAAAAUGUUCCUUAAAAACAAUCCAUCAGCCUACAAAAUAGGACGCUGACUAGUUUUUAGAACUGUGUAGCUCUACAGCAUUAACAUAAAGACAAAAAAAUUGCCAAAUUCAUCUUUCAGUGACAUACACAAUGGUAAAAGAAGAUCUACAAAUUAGUAAUGAAUUUUAAAGCAACUUUACUACGUUUUUUUAAAGCAUACUAAAGUAGACCAGCUGUACCCCACAUCUCCAAAGGACAGGUAAUUCAAGGGAUUUAGAAAUUGGCUUCAAUAGUAAAUAGACCUGCUUUAAGCUACUGUUGUUUGUUUUUGUUUUUGUUUUUUUAAGUUGUAGAGGAGGCCAUUGUUUUCAAGGUAAAUGACAUCCACUAAUGUUUACAUACCAUUUCAUAAGUGAAAAAGUACCAUUUUACUAAGAUUAACAAAAAAUAACCGUUUGAAUUAGAAAUUUUACUUUCUAGUACCUUGGCUUGGCAUUCAGGCCCUAUUAUGAACCAAUUAAAAUAGACAAGAACCAAAAAAAAAUACCUAAAAAUCAGGUUUUUUUUUUAAAAAAACUUUAUUUUAAAAUUUUCGUUACAAUUUCAGUUUUUUUACUUAACAAGUCUACUGUUUAAUCUCUCAGGAUU
rnacentral:lncRNA from 1 species